rnacentral:rRNA from 1 species
CAGCAGUAGCCACGGUAAAACGUAGGGUGCGAGCGUUGUCCGGAAUUAUUGGGCGUAAAGAGCUUGUAGGCGGUCUGUCGCGUCUGCUGUGAAAACCCGAGGCUCAACCUCGGGCCUGCAGUGGGUACGGGCAGACUAGAGUGCGGUAGGGGAGAACGGAACUCCUGGUGUAGCGGUGGAAUGCGCAGAUAUCAGGAAGAACACCGAUGGCGAAGGCAGUUCUCUGGGCCGUAACUGACGCUGAGAAGCGAAAGCGUGGGGAGCGAACAGGAUUAGAGACCCCUGUAGUCCCUGUCUCUUAUAC